rnacentral:misc_RNA from 1 species
AUGUGGAUCAUUUUAGACGGGUGCUUGUUCUUCCCGGCGCAAGUGCUCGUCAAAUGUUUGAACCUUUCCAAAAGAGGAGGGAUGUUCAAACGCACUCAUGUGUAAGAAAAAGAUGGAAUAUAUGUGUAGUAAUAUAUAUAUGUAUGUCUUGUCUUUACAUGGGUGGCCGGGAAUUCACUAGGAGCGUAGACGACAAAGUUAUCAAGAGGAAGUGUACUAUGUAUCUUUUCUCGGUGGGGCUAGAAGUAGGCCACAUCCAGCCCGUGUCAAAAAAUGGGAAGGAGAGAAGUUGGUGGGGCUCAAAAGAUGACGACUUUGGGGGGAUCGCAAAGUAGGAACGAACAUGUCAUCACCUCUUAACCAUACUCCUUCUCGACACAACAAAAGGAAAGGGUGUGAAAAGGAAAGAAAAGUAGUAGAAAAGGAAAGUACACGCAAAGGGGGGAAGUACACUGUCUUGGGGGAGCGAGAAGCGAGUGAUUUUUGAGGUAUCGAUCAAAAUAUCAGGCUUUCUCCUCUUCCUUGCGGUGGAAGGUUCGGAAUUUGGGUGAUUCCGCUCCCCUUACUCCUUUGAAACCCCCUGGGCAGAAACUCCGUAUGUGUUGUGUUUUUAUUCGUCGCUAUCGAAGAGAUGGUGACUGCACAAGGGGCGCUUUGGUUACUAUCUUUUCGGACGAAUAAAAAUCAUGCGGAGUUUCUGCCCGGGCUUCUUGAAUAACCCGUUUAUUAUAUUAUUGAAUUCAAAAUUUAAGGAAAUUAAUUUUUCCAUCAAAUUUGAAUUUAAUAAUAAGCUCUUCCAUCUCGUGCCUAUAGGGGGAUAUGUCUUGAAUUCUUUUUUUUGUCCAGUAUCGGAUUGGGGGGUUCCUCGUCUUUUGGUCCAAAAGACUGGGGGAACUCCCGGGUUCGACACGGUUUCAGAAUCAAGGAAUUCAGUUAAAAGGACAGUCCUACUUGUAGGCACGGGCGUCUGGGUUCAUAAGGGGCGGUGAAUGUGCCCUUCCGGACGUUUCAAUAUAACGCUCAACGAUGGAUGUCUAGGCUUGGUGAUCGAUGAAGGACGCAGCGAAGUGCGAUAAGUGUCAUGACUUGCAGAUUCCCGAGAGCUGACAAAUUUCUGAAUGCAAAUGGCGGCUGUCAAAAACGGCCAUGUAUGGCAGAGUGUAGUUGUUCAGACUAAUCAUCCCCUUCUCAUCAUACGUCUGGUGAUUGGGCUAGGGAUCUGCGCUUACGACCGACCCAUUGGCGUGAGUGUAAAAAAUCGAGCCCUCAGCUCUCUUCUUCUUCCCCUCUUCGGGGCGGCAGAGAGAGAUGGGGUGACUUCGGAAAAGGAGAAGAGGCGCGAGGAUGUCAUGUUCUCGCGCUUUUCUCUCUUGGAAUGAAGUUACUAGCUGCUCUCAAUAUACCCUCUAGGAAUCUACCUCUGCCAUGCAGGAGAACCCGCUGAACUUAAGCAUAUCAUUAAGCGGAGGACAAGAAAACAACCGUGAUUCCCUGAGUAACGGCGAGUGAACAGGGAACAGCCUAUGCUUGAAUCCGCGGCGGAAGGAACCGGAAGUCGUGGAAUUGUAGUGCAAGGGCCAAGGGGAGGUGUUGCAGUCAGAUGAAGCGCUCUGGAAAGUGCCACCGGUGGAGGGUGAAAGUCCCGUCAUAUCUGUACGCGCAAUGCCAAUAUCCCUACGGACUCCAAGAGUCGCGCAGUUUGAUAGUGCUGUGCAAACCGCUGGUGUCGUGCAGCGAAGGCUAAAUAUUGCACCAAGACCGAUAGCGAACAAGUAGUGUGAACGAAAGAUGAAAAGCACUUUGGAAAGAGAGUGAAAAAGGCCCUGAAGUCGUUGAGCGCAAAGGGUAUAAGAGCCAUUAAUCCGCCUCGCGCAAGUGAGGCAUGUCAGUACGGAUUUGCGUUCUCUGCGCGGUGUUCUUGUCUGAUGCCUUCGGGCUUCAGGAGGGAUUCUCACUGGGUGCAGCGGAGCGUCGAUCCGGAGGACUAGCGAGGGGUCGCUUGCAGGGGCGUAGUGAAUACGAGAGUAACUUUCUCCGGGAGGUUGCCUUGUCGAUCUAUAGCUUCCUGCACGUGGCCUCGAAGCGAUGUUUUAUUGCUGACACCGAGGUUCAAUCCUCGGUGAGAUGGUCUUCUACCACCCGUCUUGAAACACGGACCAAGGAGUCUACCUAAUGGGCGAGCCUUAGGGUGAAUCAAACCCAGCGAGGCGCAAUGAAAGUGGCGACCCGUGAAGUUUUGGGGCCUACCCAAGACGUGCAACGGGGCACGGUCCUAAUCGUAUGUGAAAGGGAUCUGAAGUAAAGUCCAUUAGCUGGGACCCGAAAGAUUGCGAGCUUUUCCUGGGCCGAUGUAAGUCAGGGGAAACCUUGAUGGACGAUCGAACGCAGUGCUGACGUGCAAAUCGCUUGUCAGAUCUGGGUAAAGGGGCGAAAGACUCAUCGAGCAAUCUAGUAGCUGUUUCCCUC